rnacentral:tRNA from 1 species
GGGGGUGUGGCUCAGGGAUGGAGCCUCCGCUUGGCACACAGAAAGUCCCUGGUUCAACCCCUGGCAUUGCCA